rnacentral:rRNA from 1 species
UAGCCUUUCGAAAGGAAGAUUAAUACCCCAUAAUAUAUCUGAUGGCAUCAUUAGAUAUUGAAAACUCCGGUGGAUAGAGAUGGGCACGCGCAAGAUUAGAUAGUUGGUGAGGUAACGGCUCACCAAGUCAGUGAUCUUUAGGGGGCCUGAGAGGGUGAUCCCCCACACUGGUACUGAGACACGGACCAGACUCCUACGGGAGGCAGCAGUGAGGAAUAUUGGACAAUGGGUGCGAGCCUGAUCCAGCCAUCCCGCGUGAAGGACGACGGUUCUAUGGAUUGUAAACUUCUUUUAUACUGGGAUAAACCUACUCUCGUGAGGGUAGCUGAAGGUACAGUAUGAAUAAGCACCGGCUAACUCCGUG